rnacentral:rRNA from 1 species
GGCGGACGGGUGAGUAAUAUAUAGGUAAUGUGCCUUUGCGAGGGGGAUAACAGUUGGAAACGACUGCUAAUACCGCAUAAUGUCUUCGGACCAAACGGGGCUUCGGCUCCGGCGCAAAGAGAGGCCCAAGUGAGAUUAGCUAGUUGGUAAGGUAAAGGCUUACCAAGGCGACGAUCUCUAGCUGUUCUGAGAGGAAGAUCAGCCACACUGGGACUGAGACACGGCCCAGACUCCUACGGGAGGCAGCAGUGGGGAAUAUUGCACAAUGGGGGAAACCCUGAUGCAGCCAUGCCGCGUGUGUGAAGAAGGCCUUCGGGUUGUAAAGCACUUUCAGUUGUGAGGAAAAGUUAGUAGUUAAUACCUGCUAGCCGUGACGUUAACAACAGAAGAAGCACCGGCUAACUCCGUGCCAGCAGCCGCGGUAAUACGGAGGGUGCGAGCGUUAAUCGGAAUUACUGGGCGUAAAGCGCACGCAGGCGGUUUGUUAAGCUAGAUGUGAAAGCCCCGGGCUCAACCUGGGAUGGUCAUUUAGAACUGGCAGACUAGAGUCUUGGAGAGGGGAGUGGAAUUCCAGGUGUAGCGGUGAAAUGCGUAGAUAUCUGGAGGAACAUCAGUGGCGAAGGCGACUCCCUGGCCAAAGACUGACGCUCAUGUGCGAAAGUGUGGGUAGCGAACAGGAUUAGAUACCCUGGUAGUCCACACCGUAAACGCUGUCUUCUAGCUGUGUGUGCCUUUAAGGCGUGCGUAGCGAAGCUAACGCGCUAAGUAGACCG